ACGACCAUAGAGCGUUGGAACCACCUGAUCCCAUCCCGAACUCAGUAGUGAAACGACGCAUCGCCGAUGGUAGUGUGGAGUUUCUCCAUGUGAGAGUAGGUCAUCGUCAAGC
rnacentral:rRNA from 2 species